CCCGGAUCCACCCCAUAGCCGCGAUCGGAGCCCUCUCCUCCGCGGUGGAAGCUGAGGUCGGACGCUGAACGUCUCCGGCGUGGGCCGGACGGAGUCGGUUCCGAUCCGUUGGCACCGGGAUGGCGGGGAGGUUCCGUCGGGAUGGAGCACAGACCGGGACCGCCGCACCCACCUCUGCUCGGCCGCUCCCUUAUGCCCACCUGUGGUCUUCCUCAGCCUUCAUCACGGAGUGAGAUGGGGCCAAAGGGCCGAGGAACCAUCAGCGGAGCCACCAGAGGUGGGAAUGGGUCGAGAGGAGCAGCGAUGGAUGAGAAGGAGAGGUCGGAACGUCGGAGGGGCAACCAUGGAGUCCUGCAGAGGAUGAGCAUCGCACCGACCUCUGCAAGGCCUCCCUCCAUUCCGCAGCCCCCGGGGGCCGAAAUGAUGCCCCGAAGCUCCCCCCCAAGAUUGGGGAAAGCUGAGCAUCACCACCUGAUGGCAAACCCACCGCCUCCCGGCGCAUCCCCGGCAGCGCAACGUCACACGAGCACAGUUCCCUCCUGGGGAAGUUAAAGUUUAAUGGAGUCGCCUCCUUAUGGCCGAGAACCACCGCGGGGUGUCCAGAAGUGGGAACGUAAAACAGAGCCACCGACACUCAUCGGAGCCAAACACUUCCAGUGUUGUCACGAUGAGGGGAAAUCUGAGCUGUCGGAGGCUCAGGGGCUGAUCCUCCCCCUCCCCACAGUGUGUUUCUGAUCCGUUUGGCUCCAGGAUCCUUUUAGGACCCUCAUUUGCCCACUCCUUCCCUUUGGUGUUCCGCGGUCUCCGUGCUGAGAGCGGUGGGUUUAAGGCUCUGCUCUGCGCAUGGCACACAAACAGCACUGAUGGGCUGUCAGAAUGUCGACGAAGAAUGCAGCAGAACCCCCCAGAAUUUCAAUGAAGAGCCCAGCAGAACCGCUUCCCAUCCGCCAACACCCGGAGCGAUCAGGACAGCAGAACCCAGCAGAACCGGUUCCAAACCCAGAACGCCAAGGAAGAACCAAGCAGAACCAGUUCCCAUCCACCAACACCUGGAGUGAUCAGGAGAGCAGAGCCCAGCGGGACCGGUUCCAAACCCAGAACACCAAUGAAGAGCCCAGCAGAACCGCUUCCCAUCCGCCAACACCUGGAGUGAUCAGGAGAGCAGAGCCCAGCAGAACCGGUUCCAAACCCAGAACACCACUGAUGUUCCAUCCACCAACACCUGGAGCAAUCAGGAGAGCAGAGCCCAGCAGAACCGGUUCCAAACCCAAACUGCAACCCCCCGCCCCAAUGGCUCAGCACUCACAACCGUGGCAGCUUUGCAGCAAAGGGGCAGUGGUGCAUUUUGCAGCGCUGGGCCCCAAUGCACACAGAGCCCAAAUUCAGGACGAAGGGGGAUGAGAAAUCAGGUUGGAUCAGAUGAGGGCUUUGUGCAAACCUGUCCUGGGUGGUUCUGUGCUUUCAGACAGAGGGGAGAGAAUACCCCUGAGCUUAACAACAGCAGUUUUUCCUUCUCGUUUUGCAAAAGAAGAGGGGGGGGGAGGGGGGGGGAAGAAAGCAGAAAAAAAAAGAGAUCAUCCAUUUGCAGAUUGAAGGGAGCGGAGCUGAGAUUGCGUCGGGUUGGAGAGAAACCGAACGCCCGCGCGGCCCCGAGCGACCCCACCCUACGAGGACGCAGAGCUCCUCCCCCCCCCCCCCCCCCCCCCCCCAAAAUUCACUCCUCUUGAAAACAACACCGAAAAUAUCAAUAAUAACCCCCAAAACCCGCCGUCGUUCAGCCUCCUUUCGCAGCUGCACGAGCGCCCCGGGAUGGAGCUCGGGUUCCUGAGCCCACGCGCAGCGAUGCUGGCGGUGCAUUUCCCUCCCCGCUGCUGGGAGAUUUCCUUCUGUUCCGAUUUAUUUUUUACCCUCUCUGAUUGUUUUGCAGCCGUAUUUCGGAGCAUCCGCCCCUCUCCACCCCCCCCCCCACCUCCUCCAGCCCAGAAACCCCAUCUGAGCACAUCCUGGUGCCCAGCAGAGAGGACUCACAGGGAAAAGCUUCCAAUGUCAACAGAGCUCUCCCUCCCCUUCAUUGCACCUCUGUUUUCUCAAGGCAGCGUUAAUGGCUUUCGUGGAUUUCGUGUCUUCAAACAGAGCCAAAGGUUCUCUUUAAGCCUUCAUGGCUUCCACUGCUGCUGAUGGCCCGAAGGUUUUUACUUCAUCCCCCCCCCCCCCCUCCUCUUUGCUGCGACCCUCUCCUGGAAUGCCGGGAAUGUUAAAGAACUCUGCAAGGAGCAUCACCCCCUCCUCCCCCCUUUACGACCCCCUUAUGCCAGCAGAGCCAAUUCCUCUCAUUCGUUCUCCACGGUUCCCAACUGGUGCAGAGAUUCCCAGUAACUCUUCCCGGUGGGAAUGGGAAUGGGGAUAGGGAUGAAGAUGGGAGUGGGGAUGAGGGUGGGGGUGUGAUGGGAG
rnacentral:lncRNA from 1 species